GCUCUUGCUGGGCUGUUAAGCUGCUUUUGGAAAUAUCUACAGCGAGUUUGACACACACGGCUGUUCAGCUAACACUGGGUGGCGUACCCUCACUGCUCAUCUAACACCUGUGCGAAGGUGGCUCGCCACACCCUUCAGGUCCUGUGCUGAAGUUACUGCAGUGGCUGAAGCUAAUUAGCAAACUAGGGCUACUAGUGAUGCUGUUAAGAUAAGAUAAGAUAAGAUAAGAUGACCUUUAUUAGUCCCACAGGUGGGAAAUUUGUUUAAAAAUUACGAGAAGAAAAAAGAUAAGAAGGAAAGAAACUCAGAAUGAGCAGAGCUGCUGUAACAGGCUGCCGCACACGGGGGGCGCCGGAAGCUACACCUGUAAAGCACUCUGAAGCUGGGAGCAAAGCAUGACAGCACCAUCUGUAUCAGAAAUGCAGGAGAAGCAGAAACACAACAAGACAGGUUUUACUUCAAAACAUGUUUUCUAAAAGGGAAAUCAGCACCUGCAGGACUGGUGAUAUGUUCCCUGUCCACAGGAUACUCAUCCAGGCUUCAUUUACACUGUAGAUGAAAUGAUGGCGUCCCGCUGACUGAUGACUGGCUGCACGCUCUGGUUGGGGACAAAGUGAAGCCAGCAGAAUGAAGAACCAAUGGUGGCUGAAACUGAACCUUUUUAUGCCCACGUAUGUUUGAUUAAAGAUGAUUAAAAGUGUUUGUA